rnacentral:rRNA from 1 species
UACGUAGGGACCAAGCGUUGUUCGGAUUUACUGGGCGUAAAGGGCGCGUAGGCGGCGUGACAAGUCACUUGUGAAAUCUCUGAGCUUAACUCAGAACGGCCAAGUGAAACUGUUGUGCUAGAGUGCAGAAGGGGCAAUCGGAAUUCUUGGUGUAGCGGUGAAAUGCGUAGAUAUCAAGAGGAACACCUGAGGUGAAGACGGGUUGCUGGGCCGACACUGACGCUGAGGCGCGAAAGCCAGGGGAGCGAACAGG